CCGAACCGACUAAUGUUGAAAAAUUAGCGGAUGACCUGUGGCUGGGGGUGAAAGGCCAAUCAAACCGGGAGAUAGCUGGUUCUCCCCGAAAGCUAUUUAGGUAGCGCCUCGUGAAUUCAUCUCCGGGGGUAGAGCACUGUUUCGGCUAGGGGGCCAUCCCGGCUUACCAACCCGAUGCAAACUGCGAAUACCGGAGAAUGUUAUCACGGGAGACACACGGCGGGUGCUAACGUCCGUCGUGAAGAGGGAAACAACCCAGACCGCCAGCUAAGGUCCCAAAGUCAUGGUUAAGUGGGAAACGAUGUGGGAAGGCCCAGACAGCCAGGAUGUUGGCUUAGAAGCAGCCAUCAUUUAAAGAAAGCGUAAUAGCUCACUGGUCGAGUCGGCCUGCGCGGAAGAUGUAACGGGGCUAAACCAUGCACCGAAGCUGCGGCAGCGACACUGUGUGUUGUUGGGUAGGGGAGCGUUCUGUAAGCCUGUGAAGGUGUGUCGUGAGGCAUGCUGGAGGUAUC
rnacentral:rRNA from 1 species